rnacentral:lncRNA from 1 species
CACAGCCUGAGAGGGCUUUCAGAAGGCUGUGCCUGGUUGCCCACAGUGGGGAAUGAGGGAAGAAUCCGGAGUCUUGGGUUUAUAUGACACAAAAUAUCUCCUUCGUCUGGUAUUCUGUUCCAUUUGAACACAUCAUCACCAUGUGUCAGGCUGUUCAUCCACUGGCGACGUCCAAGCUGCUCCUGAUUGGCGCAAAUGAGGGAACUACGAGCUGUCCCGAAC